rnacentral:rRNA from 1 species
AAUGAACGUUGGCGGCAUGGAUUAGGCAUGCAAGUCGAGCGAGAAAUCUUAGUUUGAAACUUCGGUCGAUUUCUAAGGUGGAAAGCGGCGAAAGGGAGAGUAACGCGUAGUUACCUACCCCAGGGUCCGGAAUAGCUGCGGGAAACUGCAGGUAAUGCCGGAUAAUAUCCCCGGAUCAAAGGUGUGAUUCCGCCCUGGGAGGGGACUGCGUCCUACUAGCUUGUUGGUGGGGUAACGGCCUACCAAGGCAACGAUGGGUAGCGGGCGUGAGAGCGUGGCCCGUCUCACUGGGACUGAGACACUGCCCAGACACCUACGGGUGGCUGCAGUCGAGAAUCUUCGGCAAUGGGCGAAAGCCUGACCGAGCGAUGCCGCGUGCGGGAUGAAGGCCCUCGGGUUGUAAACCGCUGUCAGUUGGGAGGAAGGCUCUGUGAAGAGCAGAGCUUGACCUAUCUUCAGAGGAAGUACGGGCUAAGUUCGUG